rnacentral:rRNA from 1 species
UACGAAGGGGGCUAGCGUUGCUCGGAAUCACUGGGCGUAAAGGGUGCGUAGGCGGGUCUUUAAGUCAGGGGUGAAAUCCUGGAGCUCAACUCCAGAACUGCCUUUGAUACUGAAGAUCUUGAGUUCGGGAGAGGUGAGUGGAACUGCGAGUGUAGAGGUGAAAUUCGUAGAUAUUCGCAAGAACACCAGUGGCGAAGGCGGCUAUCUGGGUCCGAUACUGACGCUGAG